AGGUGGUUCAACAAACGAUCCCGCAUAUUCCACCAUCACUGAUCUUCCACCAGUGGGAAAGAAGACUGAGACAUUUCUACCUAAUGAGUCCCCAUAUUCCUUGAUCGGUGGCACUUUUCUUGUUGGAAAUAAUAAAGGUUCUUCACAGCCGACUGACAACACGUAUUUUUUACUGGAGAAGACCAAAGCAGCUGGAAACCAGUGACCAACGUUGGACCUGAAUAUAAGUCAAGAUUAAACCAGUUUCAAGGGACGUCUCAAAAAAAGCACAUGUGACUUAAUAAAUGUGAGACUUUGUGAUAUUUGCUGAAACUUAUAUCCUAACAUGAGACGGAUAAUUUGUGAAAACUGUGCUCCUAAGGGUAUUAAGAAGCAAGAACACAACAAGUCUGAACGACAACAACCAAUCAGAGCCGAGGAAGAUAGUUGAUUGUUGAUCUUCAAAGGUCUUUAUGUCCCUGGGGAUGAGACUCAACAGUCAGCUAAAGCUGCAAGCAGCAAUGAAUGAGGCCCUCGCAGUCAGCGUACGUGGUGUCAUGCAUCAGCAUUUCACUCAUAUAAAUGAGAUGAUGUGGCAUUAUUAUUAUUAUUGCCUAUGACUAAAUAUGGUCAUGUUAAUGUGUUCAAGCUAGCACUCAAACAUGAAGUUGGGGUCCAUUAGAUCGUGUAUGCUUGUGUAAGUUACAUCAAUUACAAAUAGCACAAUUUUGCACUGACUAACUCUGAAGUCGAUCCGAUCAAUUCCCUAGAAGAAGUGCAACUUGUGCAAAUCGCCCAAAAUGACCACUAAAUUCAAAAUGGCCAACUUCUUGUUGGGUUUGGGGUAUGGGUCCUUGAGGCUUCUCUGUAUAUGAUACAUCUGUGUACCAAUUUUCAGAUAUAUAUCGUGAAACAGGGCGCAAGGACUGCAGUUUAGGGGGUUUUGGCUGUGGGUGGUUGUUGUUCAGAUGUGUUGUAGUCUUGAAAAUGCCAUAAGGUCCUAAAUAUUUUGUAUUUUGUAUCUAUAACUAUCUCUGACUAAGACACUGUAUGUUGGUUUUCCUUUCAUUUGUCACCCUUCUGUAUCUUCUUUAUGUAUUCCUCUUAAUUUCUGAUUUUGUAUUAUUAUUUUAAAUAGUUUUUUAAUCUCUUUCCAACUCUCUUUUCUUGUACCUCUUUAGACAGUUUCUGUAC